UUACAGAGUUUUUAACUCCCACACCAUUUGUUAACCUACCACCUUAUGCCUCGGCGUAAGCUCGGUUCGGGGGCGUUUCGUCGUCGAGUUACCCUGUGGCUGCCGUGUGGCUGCCUUGAGCUACCCUGUAGCGAUUGGCUAGUUACCCUGUAGCUGCAAUCUGGCUCUUCGACGGGACGCACUCCGGCCGCGGCCCGCCGGCGGUACACUAAACUCGUUUUUACCGUACAUUCUGAGCGUCUUAUUUUAAAUAAGUUAAAACUUUCAACAACGGAUCUCUUGGUUCUGGCAUCGAUGAAGAACGCAGCGAAAUGCGAUAAGUAAUGUGAAUUGCAGAAUUCAGUGAAUCAUCGAAUCUUUGAACGCACAUUGCGCCCACUAGUAUUCUGGUGGGCAUGCCUGUUCGAGCGUCAUUUCAACCCUUAAGCCUAGCUUAGUGUUGGGAAUCCACUGUACUGUGGUUCCUUAAAGACAGUGGCGGAGCGGCAGCGGUCCUCUGAGCGUAGUAAUUUUUUAUUCUCGCUUCUGUUAGGCCCUGUCCUCCCGCCGUAAAACCCCCUAUUUUUUUAGUGGUUGACCUCGGAUCAGGUAGGAAUACCCGCUGAACUUAAGCAUAUCAAUAAGCGGAGGAAAAGAAACCAACAGGGAUUCCCCUAGUAACGGCGAGUGAAGCGGGAACAGCUCAAAUUUGAAAUCUGGCCCUCGGGUCCGAGUUGUAAUUUGCAGAGGAUGCUUUUGGCGCGGUGCCUUCCGAGUUCCCUGGAACGGGACGCCUUAGAGGGUGAGAGCCCCGUACGGUUGGCCACCAAGCCUGUGUAAAGCUCCUUCGACGAGUCGAGUAGUUUGGGAAUGCUGCUCAAAACGGGAGGUAUAUUUCUUCUAAAGCUAAAUACUGGCCAGAGACCGAUAGCGCACAAGUAGAGUGAUCGAAAGAUGAAAAGCACUUUGAAAAGAGGGUUAAAUAGCACGUGAAAUUGUUGAAAGGGAAGGGUUUAUGACCAGACUUUUUCUAGGGGGAUCAUCCGGUGUUCUCACCGGUGCACUUCCCCUAGUUGAGGCCAGCAUCGGUUUCUGCCGGGGGAUAAAAGCUUCGGGAAUGUGGCUCCUUCGGGAGUGUUAUAGCCCGUUGUAUAAUACCCUGGCGGGGACCGAGGUUCGCG
rnacentral:misc_RNA from 1 species